GGUCAAGUGAAGAAGCGCAUACGGUGGAUGCCUUGGCAGUCAGAGGCGAUGAAAGACGUGGUAGCCUGCGAAAAGCUUCGGGGAGUCGGCAAACAGACUUUGAUCCGGAGAUCUCUGAAUGGGGGAACCCACCUAGGAUAACCUAGGUAUCUUGUACUGAAUCCAUAGGUGCAAGAGGCGAACCAGGGGAACUGAAACAUCUAAGUACCCUGAGGAAAAGAAAUCAACCGAGAUUCCCUUAGUAGUGGCGAGCGAACGGGGAUUAGCCCUUAAGCUUCAUUGAUUUUAGCGGAACGCUCUGGAAAGUGCGGCCAUAGUGGGUGAUAGCCCCGUACGCGAAAGGAUCUUUGAAGUGAAAUCGAGUAGGACGGAGCACGAGAAACUUUGUCUGAACAUGGGGGGACCAUCCUCCAAGGCUAAAUACUACUGACUGACCGAUAGUGAACCAGUACCGUGAGGGAAAGGCGAAAAGAACCCCGGAGAGGGGAGUGAAAUAGAACCUGAAACCGUAUGCGUACAAGCAGUGGGAGCCUACUUGUUAGGUGACUGCGUACCUUUUGUAUAAUGGGUCAGCGACUUAUAUUCAGUGGCAAGCUUAACCGUAUAGGGUAGGCGUAGCGAAAGCGAGUCUUAAUAGGGCGUUUAGUCGCUGGGUAUAGACCCGAAACCGGGCGAUCUAUCCAUGAGCAGGUUGAAGGUUAGGUAACACUGACUGGAGGACCGAACCCACUCCCGUUGAAAAGGUAGGGGAUGACUUGUGGAUCGGAGUGAAAGGCUAAUCAAGCUCGGAGAUAGCUGGUUCUCCUCGAAAGCUAUUUAGGUAGCGCCUCAUGUAUCACUCUGGGGGGUAGAGCACUGUUUCGGCUAGGGGGUCAUCCCGACUUACCAAACCGAUGCAAACUCCGAAUACCCAGAAGUGCCGAGCAUGGGAGACACACGGCGGGUGCUAACGUCCGUCGUGAAAAGGGAAACAACCCAGACCGCCAGCUAAGGUCCCAAAGUUGUGGUUAAGUGGUAAACGAUGUGGGAAGGCUUAGACAGCUAGGAGGUUGGCUUAGAAGCAGCCACCCUUUAAAGAAAGCGUAAUAGCUCACUAGUCGAGUCGGCCUGCGCGGAAGAUGUAACGGGGCUCAAACCACACACCGAAGCUGCGGGUGUCACGUAAGUGACGCGGUAGAGGAGCGUUCUGUAAGCCUGUGAAGGUGAGUUGAGAAGCUUGCUGGAGGUAUCAGAAGUGCGAAUGCUGACAUGAGUAACGACAAUGGGUGUGAAAAACACCCACGCCGAAAGACCAAGGGUUCCUGCGCAACGUUAAUCGACGCAGGGUUAGUCGGUUCCUAAGGCGAGGCUGAAAAGCGUAGUCGAUGGGAAACAGGUUAAUAUUCCUGUACUUCUGGUUACUGCGAUGGAGGGACGGAGAAGGCUAGGCCAGCUUGGCGUUGGUUGUCCAAGUUUAAGGUGGUAGGCUGAAAUCUUAGGUAAAUCCGGGGUUUCAAGGCCGAGAGCUGAUGACGAGUCGUCUUUUAGAUGACGAAGUGGUUGAUGCCAUGCUUCCAAGAAAAGCUUCUAAGCUUCAGGUAACCAGGAACCGUACCCCAAACCGACACAGGUGGUCGGGUAGAGAAUACCAAGGCGCUUGAGAGAACUCGGGUGAAGGAACUAGGCAAAAUGGCACCGUAACUUCGGGAGAAGGUGCGCCGGCUAGGGUGAAGGAUUUACUCCGUAAGCUCUGGCUGGUCGAAGAUACCAGGCCGCUGCGACUGUUUAUUAAAAACACAGCACUCUGCAAACACGAAAGUGGACGUAUAGGGUGUGACGCCUGCCCGGUGCCGGAAGGUUAAUUGAUGGGGUUAGCGCAAGCGAAGCUCUUGAUCGAAGCCCCGGUAAACGGCGGCCGUAACUAUAACGGUCCUAAGGUAGCGAAAUUCCUUGUCGGGUAAGUUCCGACCUGCACGAAUGGCGUAACGAUGGCGGCGCUGUCUCCACCCGAGACUCAGUGAAAUUGAAAUCGCUGUGAAGAUGCAGUGUAUCCGCGGCUAGACGGAAAGACCCCGUGAACCUUUACUGUAGCUUUGCACUGGACUUUGAGCCUGCUUGUGUAGGAUAGGUGGGAGGCUUUGAAGCGUGGACGCCAGUUCGCGUGGAGCCAUCCUUGAAAUACCACCCUGGCAUGCUUGAGGUUCUAACUCUGGUCCGUAAUCCGGAUCGAGGACAGUGUAUGGUGGGCAGUUUGACUGGGGCGGUCUCCUCCUAAAGAGUAACGGAGGAGUACGAAGGUGCGCUCAGACCGGUCGGAAAUCGGUCGUAGAGUAUAAAGGCAAAAGCGCGCUUGACUGCGAGACAGACACGUCGAGCAGGUACGAAAGUAGGUCUUAGUGAUCCGGUGGUUCUGUAUGGAAGGGCCAUCGCUCAACGGAUAAAAGGUACUCCGGGGAUAACAGGCUGAUACCGCCCAAGAGUUCAUAUCGACGGCGGUGUUUGGCACCUCGAUGUCGGCUCAUCACAUCCUGGGGCUGAAGCCGGUCCCAAGGGUAUGGCUGUUCGCCAUUUAAAGUGGUACGCGAGCUGGGUUUAGAACGUCGUGAGACAGUUCGGUCCCUAUCUGCCGUGGACGUUUGAGAUUUGAGAGGGGCUGCUCCUAGUACGAGAGGACCGGAGUGGACGAACCUCUGGUGUUCCGGUUGUCACGCCAGUGGCAUUGCCGGGUAGCUAUGUUCGGAAAAGAUAACCGCUGAAAGCAUCUAAGCGGGAAACUUGCCUCAAGAUGAGAUCUCACUGGGAACUUGAUUCCCCUGAAGGGCCGUCGAAGACUACGACGUUGAUAGGCUGGGUGUGUAAGCGUUGUGAGGCGUUGAGCUAACCAGUACUAAUUGCCCGUGAGGCUUGACCAUAU
rnacentral:rRNA from 1 species